rnacentral:rRNA from 1 species
UACGGGGGGGGCAAGCGUUGUUCGGAAUUACUGGGCGUAAAGGGCUCGUAGGCGGCCAACUAAGUCGGACGUGAAAUCCCCAGGCUCAACCUGGGAACUGCGUCCGAUACUGGAUGGCUUGAAUCCGGGAGAGGGAUGCAGAAUUCCAGGUGUAGCGGUGAAAUGCGCAGAUAUCGGGAAGAACACCCGUGGCGAAGGCGGCUCUCUGGGACGGUACUGACGCUGAGACGCGAAAAGCGUGGGGAGCGAACAGG